UUUUUCAUUAUUUUUCUUCUCACACCUUCACAACGGAACUAUUAGCUCUUUCUCUCGUUUUAUUUUUCUUCUCCUUUAACAAAUCUCUCUUGUUCUUUUCUUUCACAAAUCUAAGAAAUCGAAAGGGUAAAAGCUACUCAUCCAGGAACGAAAAUCGCUUGAUAUUAGCUCUCCACCCAUGAUGUGAUAAGAGCAAAGACAAACCCUAGAACCCAGUAAACCAAAUCAUUAUUCUCAUCUAGCAGAUCUAUAUUCGAGUUAUUCUUUUUCUUUGAAGGGAACAACAUAUUUCAAUUGGUCGGGUGGUGAUGAGAAUAAAGUUUAUAUUACUAAUUUUAAGUUAGUUGCUGGAAUGUGGGUUUAUCCAUCAUGGGAGGUUGGUGUAAUUUCUUGACCCUGUUCUACAUAGGAGGUUUCGCAUUAAUGAUUUUGCUACUAUUUUCUUUGUAAUGCCGGAUCUCUUCCACCUAUGUUACCCAAUCAAGUUUGCAAACUCAAGCAACUUAGUCUUCUCACUCUUGCUGAGGUAGACAAGAGCAGUAAGAUAUGGAUUCCUGCUAAUGAAGAACCAUGAGUACACGUGUGUAAGUUUUUUUCUUUAUCUUGCAGUAAAUACCUUCUAAUAUCUAGUCUUCUGUGUGUUUGGCUAAAAACACCUUGUCUGUGUCUCUUUAACUCUUAGAAAUGGUAUUAUUGGAAUCAGGCUGCUGGCCAUAGAGGGGUAUGAAUAUAUAACUAGCCCAUGAAAUCUUGUCAUCUUAAGUUAGUUCUAAGAAAUAUUUCAGAGUAUUCAAUUCUUCUUUAUUUUGGCCAUUACAUAGUUUUGUUUCUGAAUGUAAUUUUCCUUCCUUUCUUGGUAUGUCGUUGACAAGAUGCGAGGAGCUGGGGAUUGGAAACAUAGAUGAUGGACGAGGCUCGAAGGAAGCGUUUAUUUCACUUGAUGAAUGAACUCCCAACAAUCUUUGAAGUUGUUGCUGUAGCUGUAAAGAAGCAUCACUUUAAGGAGAAAUCUUCAGUGUCAAAUCACAGCAUCAACAAAUCAAUCCUAUUUCAAAAACGGAGGAGAUUGCUGCCAAGACAGAUGAAUUCAUUAAAGUCCACAAAAAGUUACAAUAGUAGUAUGAGCUUCUUGAGUUUUAUGUUUGUUGGGAAGCUAAACUCUAAUGUUAUCUGAAACCCUAAUUGGGGUUUUCUUAAAUUGUGAGUUGUAGUUGCAUUUGAGUAAUUUCAGUAGUAGUGUUUUUGGUUUUGAUUAAUGGGUAAUUUUGUGACUUACGAUUUGUUAUGAUUUAAGUAUUGUUGGCUGAGUUUUAUUUUUGGAUGAUUGUUGUUGUGACAGAAUAUGAACUGGUAGAAUAUGAUUAAAUUCUUUUUGGUUCA